rnacentral:rRNA from 1 species
CCUACGGGUGGCAGCAGUGAGGAAUAUUGGUCAAUGGACGAGAGUCUGACCCAGCCACGUAGCGUGAAGGAUGACUGCCCUAUGGUUUGUAAACUUCUUUUAUAUGGGAAUAAAACAGGGUAUGCAUACCCUCUUGUAUGUACCAUAUGAUUAUGGAACGGCUCACUCCAGGCCAGCAGCCGCGGUAAUACGGAGGAUCGGAGCGUUAUCCGGUGUGAUUGGGUUUAAAGGGAGGGUAGGUGGAUUGUUAAGUCAGUUGUGAAAGUUUGCGGCUCAACCGUAAAAUGGAAGUUGAAACUGGCAGUCUUGAGUACAGUAGAGGUGGGCGGAAUUCGUGGUGUAGCGGUGAAAUGCUUAGAUAUCACGAAGAACUCCGAUUGCGAAGGCAGCUCACUGGACUGCAACUGACACUGAUGCUCGAAAGUGUGGGUAUCAAACAGGAUUAGAUACCCGAGUAGUC